GAUGAUCAGCCACACUGGGACUGAGACAUGGCCCAGACUCCUACGGGAGGCAGCAGCAAGGAAUAUUGGGCAAUGGGCGAAAGCCUGACCCAGCGACACCGCGUGGAGGAAGAAGGCCUUCGGGUUGUAAACUCCUUUUCUCGGGGAAGAAUAAUGACGGUACCCGGGGAAUAAGUCUCGGCUAACUACGUGCCAGCAGCCGCGGUAAUACGUAGGAGGCGAGCGUUAUCCGGAUUUACUGGGCGUAAAGCGGGCGUAGGCGGCUUGCCAAGUCCGAUGUGAAAUCUCCCGGCUAAACUGGGAGGGUGCAUUAGAUACUGGUAGGCUAGAGUGCAGCAGAGGAAAGCGGAAUUCCCGGUGUAGUGGUGAAAUGCGUAGAUAUCGGGAAGAACACUAGUGGCGAAGGCGGCUUUCUGGGCUGUUACUGACGCUGAGGCCCGAAGGCGUGGGUAGCAAACAGGAUUAGAUACCCUGGUAGUCCACGCAGUAAACGAUGGAUACUAGGUAUGGGGGGUAUCGACCCCCUCCGUGCCGAAGCUAACGCUUUAAGUAUCCCGCCUGGGGACUACGGUCGCAAGACUAAAACUCAAAGGAAUUGACGGGGGCCCGCACAAGCAGCGGAGCGUGUGGUUUAAUUCGAUCAACGCGAAGAACCUUACCAGGGCUUGACAUGUUGGAAGUAGUGAACCGAAAGGGGAACGACCUGUUAAGUCAGGAGCCAUCACAGGUGCUGCAUGGCUGUCGUCAGCUCGUGCCGUGAGGUGUCGGGUUAAGUCCCAUAACGAGCGCAACCCUUGUUGCCAGUUAAUUUCUCUGGCGAGACUGCCCCGCAAAACGGGGAGGAAGGCGGGGAUGAUGUCAAGUCAGUAUGGCCCUUAUGCCCUGGGCUACACACACGCUACAAUGGGUGGUACAAUGGGUCGCAAUGGAGCAAUCCGGAGCUAAUCCUUUAAAACCAUCCUCAGUUCGGAUUGUAGGCUGAAAUUCGCCUGCAUGAAGUUGGAGUUGCUAGUAACCGCAAAUCAGCACGUUGCGGUGAAUACGUUCUCGGGCCUUGUACACACCGCCCGUCACGUCAUGAAAGUCGGCAACAUCUGAAGUCGAUGAGCCAACCCAUUUAUGGGAGGCAGUUGCCUAGGGUGAGGUCGGUGAUUGGGACGAAGUCGUAACAAGGUAGCCGUAGCGGAAGCUGCGGCUG
rnacentral:rRNA from 1 species